rnacentral:rRNA from 1 species
AGUGAACGCUGGCGGUAGGCCUAACACAUGCAAGUCGAACGGCAGCACAGUAAGAGCUUGCUCUUACGGGUGGCGAGUGGCGGACGGGUGAGGAAUACAUCGGAAUCUACUUUUUCGUGGGGGAUAACGUAGGGAAACUUACGCUAAUACCGCAUACGACCUACGGGUGAAAGCAGGGGAUCUUCGGACCUUGCGCGAUUGAAUGAGCCGAUGUCGGAUUAGCUAGUUGGCGGGGUAAAGGCCCACCAAGGCGACGAUCCGUAGCUGGUCUGAGAGGAUGAUCAGCCACACUGGAACUGAGACACGGUCCAGACUCCUACGGGAGGCAGCAGUAGGGAAUAUUCGACAAUGGGCGCAAGCCUGAUCCAGCCAUACCGCGUGAGUGAAGAAGGCCUUCGGGUUGUAAAGCCCUUUUGUUAGGAAAGAAAAGCAGCAGGUUAAUACCCCGCUGUUCUGACGGUACCCAAAGAAUAAGCACCGGCUAACUUCGUG